rnacentral:ncRNA from 1 species
AACCCCCUGAAAUCUGCUAACGAACUUGGCGGAACGUACAGAUAUUCAGGGGGCCCAAAAGCAGGCUGGUAGCCUGUGAAGGAUUAUAACGCAUGCAUUACAUAACACAACACCCGGCCGCC